rnacentral:lncRNA from 1 species
UUGCUUUAUAAUUAAAUUUUGAAAUGACGUCUUCUCUUCUGAGAAAGAUAUUUUAAAAAUGAAUUGGUUAUUUUUCAGAAAUUCAGCUUUGUUGACAAAUAUGGUUUCUGUUAAUGAAAGACUAAACUGGAUGCAUUAAGAAUGAAAGGAAUAUAAACCAUAUGCUGCUAGGUUUGAUGGACUAAACAUGGUUCUUCUCUGUGGCAUUCCUUGGGGCUGCCUUCAGGCUUGAGGAUCUUUGAAUUUUAAAAUGAAUGUUGGCCUUGGCUUCAAGACCCACUAUCCUUUGAAAGACAAAUUAUAAGAUGCAGAGACUACAUAUGGUUACAAUAAAAAGAAACAUUCACAAAGAUGAUUAUUUCGCACACCUUCCAGAUCUGGCACCACCACCCCAGUGAUCUUGCACACCUCUUCAUCAGUCUUCUCAGUUCAAUGGGUAGCUGGUAGAAUCAUCCUCAGACUCAGAAAAGAUUAACCCAUCCAUACAAAAGAUAAAUCUAAAUUGCCUGAAGUUUUCUAUUAUCAAGUCAUCACGGUUGCUUUUUGUGUCCUGAGAAAUGAGGGGAUCAUCCACCUUGUCUUGCUCAGAGGGUGUCAGUGACCUGUGUUCAAAAGCCUGAGAAAUCUCUGCCCUAUGAUGUGCCAUUGGGGUAGUACCACUGCAUGAGGACAAGCAGACUGCCAACAUUACCUUUAAACUGGAUGAGAAAGCCCUUUUGGAUUCACUGAAAGUACACACAACUUCCUAUCGCAGGCUGAAUAGUCAGCUCGAAGUCAGAUUGUUAUUUCAGGUCUACAUUAAUAUGUGCACAGCUGAUCCCAAAAGACAAUGCAGUCAAUGGCAAGUCCCUGCUAGGGUCAUCAGCACUCCUUGUUUGCAGCUCUGAUGCCUACUGUGCCAGUAUGGAAGAUGGAAUUAGGUAUUUUCUUGUGAAUUUCACAAGUAAUAAAUUCUGUGCCGGGGGCCUGGAGGAGAAUAAU